GAUGAACGCUGGCGGCGUGCCUAAUACAUGCAAGUCGAGCGAACGGACGAGAAGCUUGCUUCUCUGAUGUUAGCGGCGGACGGGUGAGUAACACGUGGAUAACCUACCUAUAAGACUGGGAUAACUUCGGGAAACCGUAGCUAAUACCGGAUAAUAUUUUGAACCGCAUGGUUCAAAAGUGAAAGACGGUCUUGCUGUCACUUAUAGAUGGAUCCGCGCUGCAUUAGCUAGUUGGUAAGGUAACGGCUUACCAAGGCAACGAUGCAUAGCCGACCUGAGAGGGUGAUCGGCCACACUGGAACUGAGACACGGUCCAGACUCCUAAGGGAAGCAGCAGUAGGGAAUCGUCCGCAAUGGGCGAAAGCCUGACGGAACAACGGCGCGUGAGUGAUGAAAGUCUUCGGAUCGUAAAACUCUGUUAUUAGGGAAAAACAUAUGUGUAAGGAACUGAGCACAGCUUGACGGUAACUAAUCAGAAAGCCACGGCUAACUACGUG
rnacentral:rRNA from 1 species